rnacentral:rRNA from 1 species
UACGGAGGAUGCGAGCGUUAUCCGGAUUUAUUGGGUUUAAAGGGUGCGUAGGCGGUCCGUUAAGUCAGCGGUAAAAUUGCGGGGCCCAACCCCGUCGAGCCGUUGAAACUGGUUUUCUUGAGUGGGCGAGAGGUAUGCGGAAUGCGUGGUGUAGCGGUGAAAUGCAUAGAUAUCACGCAGAACCCCGAUUGCGAAGGCAGCGUACCGGCCGGUCACUGACGCUGAGGCACGAAAGCGCGGGUAUCGAACAGG